AGUCGAGCGAACAGAUAAGGAGCUUGCUCCUUUGACGUUAGCGGCGGACGGGUGAGUAACACGUGGAUAACCUACCUAUAAGACUGGGAUAACUUCGGGAAACCGGAGCUAAUACCGGAUAACAUAUUGAACCGCAUGGUUCAAUAGUGAAAGGCGGCUUUGCUGUCACUUAUAGAUGGAUCCGCGCCGUAUUAGCUAGUUGGUAAGGUAACGGCUUACCAAGGCAACGAUACGUAGCCGACCUGAGAGGGUGAUCGGCCACACUGGAACUGAGACACGGUCCAGACUCCUACGGGAGGCAGCAGUAGGGAAUCUUCCGCAAUGGGCGAAAGCCUGACGGAGCAACGCCGCGUGAGUGAUGAAGGUCUUCGGAUCGUAAAACUCUGUUAUCAGGGAAGAACAAAUGUGUAAGUAACUGUGCACAUCUUGACGGUACCUGAUCAGAA
rnacentral:rRNA from 1 species